rnacentral:rRNA from 1 species
GACGAACGCUGGCGGCAUGCCUAAUACAUGCAAGUCGAACGCUGAAGCACCCUUCUUGCAGAGUGCGGAUGAGUGGCGAACGGGUGAGUAACACGUGGGGAAUCUGCCUAUAAGUGGGGGAUAACAUUCGGAAACGGAUGCUAAUACCGCAUAUAUUCUUGAACCGCCUGGUCCUUGAAAGAAAUACGGCUUUUCUGUCGCGUAUAGAUGAUCCCGCGGCGUAUUAGGUAGUUGGGGGGGUAAAGGCCUACCAAGACAAGGAUACGUAGCCGACCUGAGAGGGUGAUCGGCCCCCCUGGGACUGAGACACGGCCCAGACUCCUAUGGGAGGCAGCAGUAGGGAAUCGUACACAAUGGGCGGAAGCCUGAUGGAGCAAUGCCGCGUGAAUGACGAAGGUCUUCGGAUCGUAAAGUUCUGUUAUUAGAGAAGAACAAGUCAAGGAAUAACUGUCUUGACUUUGACGGUACCUAACCAGAAAGUAACGGCUAACUACGUG